rnacentral:snoRNA from 1 species
ACGACAUGAUGGGGACAUUUUUUAAUGAGGUCCUUUAAUCUUUCCCAUGUUCAUGGAACUGUUCACUAUCGUGCUGUGAAAAGCUAGUGAGAGCUCGCCUUAUCUG